CUCUCGAUUCCUCUAUGGUACCACCGGAGAGUGCAGUCGAUCGAUCACUCAGUUCGCCUCUAUGAUUCCGCUAUGGUCGACGCCGCCGAGUCCGCAUCCAGAACAUAGCACUCCGAUGAGUCUCCCUCCACCGCUGCAGAAUUUGACGAGCCCUAAAUAAAUUCCACCGCCUACUGUUUCGUCUUAAGAUUGUUGUUCCGUUCGUUGUGCCUUUCUUUCCCGAUCAGAAUAAAGAUCGGCUCAAUCGAUUGUCAUCCGUUCCUUGCUCCAUUCACUAUGCGAAGCAGAAUCGAAAGUGACGCCACUUCCUCAACAUUUGAAUGUAUGGGUGUUCUAUACGGUCCUGAGCCACCAACAUCACUCUACAUUCGGCCUCUGCCUCACCUCUCAUCUCCCCAGUCCUCCUCUAACCCACUAUAGGAAUCGAUUUCCAACCAAAAAAGCCCGAAAUUAUUCUAUUUCCUCUUGCAUAUGUUCAUACAUAUAUAAGAAUGUUCUACUUUGUUCAUAAUCAUCAUUGAUUUGUUAUUAGCUUCUUCGUUCUGCACUGUUGACCGCCAUUGCGUAAUAACUAUUAUAAUCCAACCCCUGCUCUAUUUUUCUAUUUAACUAUAUAUGUUGUUGUUUUUUUGUGUCUUUAGGAAUGAUUUUGUUUUGGAUGACAAUAAAAGAAUUGGAUUCACUUGAUGUUAUUUUUUUGUGUAGGAAUUGGAUGUGGGAUUUAGAUACAGGAACUAGAUACGAGAUUUGGAUGUAGGAUUGAAAUAAGUUGCUUCUCUGUGAUUUCCUGAGCAUAGGCGGUCCCCACCUAAUAGACAGAAAAUGAAGAAAGGGGAUGGCAGGUUCAAAGACAGAGGAGGAAACCUCUUCCGUCGUCGCUCCUGCAGUUGCUACUCAUAGAGACCCGUAUGAGGUUUUGAACGUUUCAAGAGAUUCUUCAGAUCAACAGAUUCAAUCUGCUUACAAAAAGCUCUCUCUCAAGUCAAAACUAAAAUCAGAUGGAAGUAAGGAUCCUUUUGCCCUAAAUAUAUAACUUAAUCUUUUGGAGGGAGGAACCCCAGGUGUUUGAUGGAAUGUAGCAGACAAAAGGAUGAAUUCCUGCUAAGCAAACCCAAUUUAAAAAACGUCAACAAAUAGUGAAGUCGAUUUGCUGAUGCCGAAGCAGUUAUGUGUGUGGAUAAUUAGGUCCUUUAAAAUUGAAUUUGUAAUUUAUAGAGCUUCAUAUAGUGAUUUUGAUACUUUUCAUUAUGUAUUGGUUUUGGAUUAUGUUUGGGUCUUUUUGUGCUUAUGGCACCAUAUUUGUUCUUAUGUCGACUUUUUUUUUGGCCGAUACAGGUAUUGGAACAAUUUGGAAUGGUAUUCUAAUUUUGAUUACAUGUUCAAAC